UGUGGUAAAUCAUUCUCUGAAAGCAGUAUCUUAACUACACACAAACUUAUUCAUACUGGUGUAAAACCAUAUCAUUGUGAUAUCUGCAGUAAAUCAUUCUCAUAAAAAUAUCAAUUAAUUAAACACAAGUGUAUUUGUUAUGCAAAGGAUCCAUAGCACAGUGACAAUUCUUGUAUAACAUUCCCUCAGAAGGACAAGCUUGUUCCUCAGGAAAAUCUCUACACAUGAUUGAAACCAUAUUAUAAAGACAUCCACAGAAUACAGAAACUAUAUGAAUGUGACAUCUAUAGUAAAUCUUUGACAUGAAAUCAUCCAUUAUUGAAUCAAAAGAGCAUUGACAGAGGAAGGAAAACAUAUGACUGUGAUGUUAAACCUGAAUCAUUCUUUCAAAAUGGUGAAUUAAUUAUACACAGUCAUAUUAAUAUGAAAGAUAUAAUCAUACCUCAAGAUAUUUGUGUUGAAUCAAUCUAUGAAAAGGAUCAAUUAUUAAAACAUAACUGCAUUCAUACAGAAGAGGAACCAUGAUGAUGAUGGUCCUCAUCAUUUAACAUUCACUUUUCCAUGCUUCUGUGGAUCAGAUGGAAUUCAUUGAUGGAGAUUUUCUCCAGCUGGAUGCCUUUCUUGUGACCAAUCCUCACCUGUUUCCAAGCAAGGAAAUAUUUCUCCUGGUGAGACAUAUUUUAUGCAGAGGACUGGAAGUGAACAACUGCACAAGUAUGACGGUCAUGAUGGCCCUUUACGAACAACACAUAAUAUCUGGACAAGGGUACACACACACUUAUGUAUGUCUGAAGAAUUUCUUAUAGGAAAUAUCUUACAUGUUUUCUCUACGUGUAAAAGUUUAUAAUUCCUAUUAGGAAAUGAAACACAUGUAAUGCUGAAUAAAUAAUAUCAAACUUU